rnacentral:lncRNA from 1 species
UUUUCACCCUUUUUUGCUCAAUUCCACUCCAAUUGAAUUCAAAUCACUUCAUGGCAUCAUUUACCUAAAACUCUAACAAUACACACCAUAAAAGACCUCAUAUUAUAGUUAAAGGACAUAAAAGCUAAAGAAAAGAGACUAGAAUGAGCGGUAAAAUCACCACUCAUCAGCCGGCUGAAUUAAUAAGAAUUGCAAGUAACGGAAGAGAAUAGAGAGCUUUUGAGAGUGUUAGAGUGUAGAUGAACUAGUGUUCGUGUCUCGAAGUAAGGAGUAAAGGAGAGUAUAUAUAGCAAUUAAGAGCAAGGAAAAAAUAAGGUAAAGGGAAUCAACCCUUCUGCAAUUAAGGAAGCCACAAAAUCAAUUAUACAUUAGUUAGUAUAAUUUUCCCUUAAUUAAGGGUAAUCAGCCAACGGUAAAGGUAGAACACAUUUAAGGAAAGAAAAUCAAUGAGCAAUUAGGGGUAAAUUGAUAGGUUUUUAAUUAAGGAAAUAAUUGGUAACGAAUCAGUAAAUAUCACAAUUAAUCAAAUAUUGUAAGAAAGCGGCUCAAGAUUAUAAAUAAGGAAAUAGUCAGGAAUGGGUCUUACCAAAACAAAUAGAUAAAUCAAGAAUCCAAAUCAAUCAUUGAUUUAAGGAAAAAGUAUAGGUUUACCAUGAAUAGGUAAAAAAAUGAACAUAGACAUAUGGAAUUAGUAGAAGAGUCGAACAUCAAUAGAGGUACAUUAGGACCAAAAAACAUCGAAUUAGGCUAAGAAGAAUCACAGAAACCAAUGUAUAGUACAAAGUCAGUACCCAAGUAACCUAGACAAACUCAGAAACCAAACAAUAAUGUCGAGAAAUUAGGUUUUUUAGCAUAAAUAAGUCAGGGUUAGAGCAAUCUUCAUGACAUCUGUCAAAACACACAAGAAACAGAAGAUUAAACACUCAAAAAUCAUUAAACGUUUUGGAGAAAGAAAAUUUCAGGAAACCCUAGUCUUAGAAGUCAAAAACCUGAAGUACUAUAGCGUUUAAAAUCAGUCAGUAGUAGAGGAAUAAGAGAAACUUAAAGAAAAAUCACAGAAACUCGAGAACAUUUUCAAAUAUGUAGAGAUUCAAGCAGUAGAUAGCAAAGGACCCAAGAUAUAGUGCUAAAAUCGGUUAGCAGUAAAGAAAUAAGAGAUCUUUAAAGAAAAGUCAUUAACAAACUCAGAAUCCUUCCAGAUCUACAAAGAUCAGACGGAUUCAUGACCAAAGAUUAGGGUUUUGAGGAGAAAGGGGAGGGGUAAGGAGAACCUAAUUUUGAACUAGAGAUUUGAACCAUGGAAUUUCAAUAGAAAUCACUCGCAAACCGUGGACGAACCCUUGAAAUGCUUUGAACGAGAUCUGGACCAUAUCUCUUCUAGGUUCUUCCACAAAAGCCACAUAAUCGAAUAACCAAGGAGAUAAGAGACAAGUAGAGGUUUCGUACAACCAUAUGAUGCCAUAGAUCGAAUAGGGAUUCCAAGGUUUGGGGUUGAUUUUGGGUGAUGGUGAUUAGGGUUAGGGGUUGGUUUCAGAGAGAACUGGAGAGGAAGGGAUUCAAGGGCGACUGUGUGUGCGAAAUGGUUAGGAUUUAGGGGUCGUUUGAAACUAAAAAAGAAAGGAUGGAUUGUGGCUGUUGAUCUCUAUGAUCAAUGGCCAAGAUCAAAUAAAAUUGGGGCUGGAUCUAUUUAGGUUAAAUUGGGCUAGGUAGGUUUAGGUUAAAAUUGGGCUGGGUAUUGGGUCAAAAUUGAGGCCAAAAUUGAAAUAAAAUAAGGCCAGAUUUUAAAUAGCAACUUUUAAUAACUAAAUAAUUUAUAAAAUAAUAAAUGAGUACCAAAAAAAUAUCUUUAUGUAUUAAAAUAAUUUUAAAUAGUUAUUUAACAUUUUAAAAAUAUGAAAGAUCAUUUUAUACAUAAAUAAUGUAGUUAUACAUUAGUAUGGGCUGUUUUUGCAAAGAUAUGCAAUUUAGCUUAAAAAUGUAAAUAUAAUUAUGAAAAAUGCACAAAAAUAUUUAAACACUAUGUUGGCAUAAAUAAUGAAUUUAAAUGGCUAAAUCACCAUAAAAGUAAUUUGAACGAUAAUUAUUGGAUAUUUAUAUAAAUAAAAAGAGAAGAAAUAAAUUGAUUUGGAGCUUUUAAAAUAAUAAAAAUACUUAUGCAUGCUUAUAACUACAUAUUUACUAUUUUGAAAGCAUAUAUACAUAUUUUUAAAAAAUAUAUGAGGAAAAAUUUGGUAUCAACAAUUGCCCCGACGCUUAGACUUUUCUCUUUUAAAUACCUUAGGAUGGGCUAGAACCACCUAAAUUAGAGGUCCCAAAUACCUCCAGGGCCACAAGGAAGGGACAGGUAGUGAACACAUAGGAUAUCACUCAACAGCUGCCCCUCUUUACCCGGGAAUGAUGAAAGAGUUUUCGGGUAAAGAAAUAAUGGCCAAUUUUGACCUGAUGGGAUGUUUUGAAGGACAGAGGCCGUACUCUAGUCUUUGAGCUACCUACAUAUCCCUAGUUUUAUAGGAAUCAGGACAUGUGUAGUUCUGGAUUCAUUGGCGGAAUAUACCGAUGAAGUCAUUGUAAGAAGACACGAGAUGCAAGAGCAGUUAUGUUGAACGGUUAGGUUUGAGUUAAUUUGAAGGAACUAGAGCGAGGUCACUCCUGCUAGGAUAGUGGUUGCUUGUUGGUCACCCUGUAGAUAAAGAGAUGCUAGAGACAUGUAUUUGUGCGGAAAUUUAAACAUGAUGCAGAUUCCCUUUGGACCAUGAAAGUUGUCUUUGGACGAUUAAGGAUGAUGUACUCAGACCAUGAUAUCCCGGGCCAUGAAUUGUUUAGUGAAGGAUCUGCAGGCCGUGAAAUGAUGUUCUCGGGCCAUGAAGAUGGUGCCUCCGAACAAUGACGCCUUUGAAUAAUGAUAUGCAAAUUUGAGGGAUCCUCAAGCCAUGGCAUGUUGUCUUCCGGCUAUGAGUAGAAUGCCUUUUAGACUAUGAUGCCUUUGGAUAAGUUAGCGAUAUUUCAGCCCAUAAGAUGUAAUAAUAUGAUGCUACCAAAACAAUGCUUAGUCUUGUGAAAUGAAGGGAAGCGCUUAGCUCGAUUGAAAAGCAAGUAGAUAGUACUAGAAUAGAGCAAUAUUUAUGUAAAGGGUCAGUGCUUAGUCCCAUGCAGGUAUGGAGGCAAGGAUUAGCCUCAUGAAGGUAUGAAGGAAAGGAUUAGCCUCAUGCAGGUAUGGAGGCAAGGAUUAUCCACAUGCAAGUAUGGAGACAAGGAUUAGCCUCAUGCAAGUAGGGAGGUAGGGAUUAGUCUCAUGCAGGUAGGGAGGUAUGGAUUAGCCUCACGUAGGUAGGGAGGCAGGGAUUAGCCUCAUGUAGAUGCAGAGGCAGAGAUUAGCCUCAUGUAAAUAUGGAGGCAAGGAUUAGUCUCAUGCAAAUAUGGAGGCAAGGAUUAGCCUCAUACAUGUAGGGAGGCAGAGAUUAGCCUCAUGCAGAUGUGGAGGUAAGGAUUAGCCUCAUGAAAGUAGGGAGGUUGGGAUUAGCAACAUGCAGGUAAGGAGGCAGGGAUUAGCCUCAUGCAAAUGUGGAGGUANNNNNNNNNNNNNNNNNNNNNNNNNNNNNNNNNNNNNNNNNNNNNNNNNNNNNNNNNNNNNNNNNNNNNNNNNNNNNNNNNNNNNNNNNNNNNNNNNNNNNNNNNNNNNNNNNNNNNNNNNNNNNNNNNNNNNNNNNNNNNNNNNNNNNNNNNNNNNNNNNNNNNNNNNNNNNNNNNNNNNNNNNNNNNNNNNNNNNNNNNNNNNNNUGCAGAUAGGAGGCAAGGAUUAGCCUCAUGCAGAUAGGGAGGCAAGGAUUAGCCUCAUGCAAAUAUAGAGGCAGGGAUUAGUCUCAUGUAAAUAUGGAGGCACGGAUUAGCCUCAUGCAAUUAUGGAGGCAAGCAUUAGCCUCAUGCAAAUCUGGAGGCAGGGAUUAGCCUCAUGCAUAUACGGAGGCAGAGGUUAGCCUCAUGCAAGUAUGGAGGCAAGGAUUAGCCUCAUGCAAAUAUGGAGGCAGGGAUUAGCCUCAUGCAAGUAUGCAGGACAAGGCUUAGUCCCAUUCAAAGAGCGAGUAGCAAAUAAGAGUGGUGUAUUUCUUAGUUGGAGAUAUAUUCGGUGUCUGAUGGCCGGAUUGAUAGUGAAUUUGCUUUGUGUAUACAUGUUUGCGAAUUCUAUCGCUACGUUUAAUGUGCCUGCGUUCAAAGAAAAAUUGUGAGUUUUUUUAGGGGGAGGUUGCUUCGCACUUCUAUUUGUUGGCCUUGCUUUGUCCGUUCUGAAGGCCUUUUCGAGUUUCACUAGGUAAUAUCUCGCUGUUACCGAAACAUAGUUUUCAAAAAAUAUGCGAUUAUUGAUAAAAAUAGAGUUAUUUUAGAAAACAUAGUGAAAUAUCAAGUAUUUUCGAUGAACUAGUGAUCGUAACAUAUUUUAGAGACAUUGCCACUCCCUCAUGUUAGAAUUUUAAGGGUCUUCCUCAAAAUUCUGCCCCAGUUUGGUAAAUGAUCCUUCGGUUGUUUGCGGGUAACGAGCCUUGUUGAUCCUUCCUCAAAUUUUGAGAAUCCUUCUCAAAAUUCUGCCCUAGUUUCUUAAUCGAUUUCCGGCUGUUUGACAUACGCUAGUGUUGGCUGGACUUGCUCGGAAUUUUGAGGGACCUUCUCAAAAUUUUGCCCCAGUAUCUGAUCUUGGGGGAAAUGGAAAUUUUAUUAUGAUAUGAUCGAACCUAUAAGGCUGCCUACGUAUCCCCUCUUAAAUGGGAAUCAGGUCAAGUGUAGUUCAAUUACAUCAGAUGAGGAAAUGUAAAUAAUCUAAGAAUAGUAUCUUUUCACUGCGUCUAAAUUGAUUGGUUUUGGCCAGAUUUCUCAAUCCAUUUCUGCGAGUAUGAGUGCUCCUCCUGUUAACACCUUGUGAACCAUGUAAUAACCUUGCCAGUUGGGAGAGAAUUUCCCUUUGGCUUCAUCUUGGUAUGAGAAAAUCUUCUUUAACACUAACUGUCCUGGUGCAAAUUUGCCUUGGUUUGAUCCUUUUGUUGAAAGCUCUAGACAUUCUGUUCUGGUAAAGUUGACUGUGACAUACUGUGUUCAUUCUUUUUCCAUCUAUAAGGAUCAAUUGUUCAUAGCGGCUUCUUAUCCAUUCUACAUCGCUGAGUUCAGCUUUCUGUAUGAUUCUUAAAGAAGAAAUCUAUACCUCGGCUGGGAUGACAUCCUCGGUACCAUAAACCAGCAUGUAAGGAGUUACCCUGAUUGAUGUGUGAACCGUAGUGCGGUAUCCUAAUAAAGCAAAAGGUAGCUUCUCGUGCCAUUAUUUGUNNNNNNNNNNNNNNNNNNNNNUGUUUGAUUUUGAAAGUUUCACACAUGGAUUUCAUCAUAUCACUGUUGAGAUUAGCAACAUUAUCGGUAACAAUGGACUCGGGUACUCCGAAUCGGCAAAUGAUAUGAUCUCUGACAAAAUCUGCAAUGACUUUCUUGGUUACAGCUUUGUAAGAUGCAUCCUCUACCCAUUUUGUGAAGUAAUCAAUGGCUACCAGAAUAAACCUGUGUCCGUUUGAAGCAGUUGGCUCAAUCGGACCGAUGACAUCCAUUCCCCAGGCGGCGAAUGGCCAAGGUGAGCUUGUGGCAUUGAGCUCAUUUGGCGGUACUUUUAUCAUAUCAGAGUGCACUUGACAUUGGUAGCAUUUGCGGACAUAUUGGAUGCAAUCUGUCUCCAUGGUCAUCCAAAAGUAACCAGCCCUAAGUAUCUCUUAGAAAAGACAAAAUCAUUCAUGUGCGGACCGCAGGUCCCAGCAUGUAUCUCCUCAAGUAGCUUAGAAGCUUCUCUUGUGUCGACACAUCUUAGUAAUCCCAAAUUGGGAGUUCUCCUAUACAAGUUUCCUCCGCUGUGGAAGAAGUGAUUGGACAAUCUCCGGAGUGUGCCUUUUUGAGUGUGGUUCGGAUGCUCUGGAUAUUUCCUUUUCGCCAGAUACUCCUUGAUGUCAUGGUACCAAGGUUUUCCAUCUGUUUCUUCUGCAACAUGGGCACAAUAUGCCGACUGAUUAUGAAUUCUCACCGGAAUGGGAUAAAUAUAAUUCUUAUCUGGUUGUUGUAUCAUGGAUGAUAAAGUGGCCAACGCAUCGGCAAACUCAUCCUGAAUUCUAGGCACAUGCCGGAACUCUAUCUUUGUGAACCUCUUUCUCAAUUCCUCCACAAUGUGCAGAUAUGGAAAUAUCUUGGAAUUUUUGGUGGCCCAUUCUCCUUGUACCUGAUGCACGAGCAAAUCUAAAUCACCGAUUACCAGCAGCUCCUAAAUAUUCAUAUCGAUUGCUAUAUUGAGUCCUAGUAUGCAGGCUUCAUAUUCCGCCAGGUUGUUGGUGCAGGGAAAUAUGAGUUUAGCAGAUACCGGAUAAUGUUGACCUAUUUCUGAUACCAAAACUGCUCCAAUGCCUACUCCUUUGAAAUUUGCAUCUCCGUCAAAGAACAUCCUCCAACCGUCGUAUGCUUCGGUAAUGUCCUCUCCUAUGAAUGACAUUUCUUCAUCAGGAAAAUACGUUUUCAAGGGUUCGUAUUCUCCUCCCAGCGGGUUUUCAGCAAGAUGAUCUGCCAGUGCUUGCCCUUUGACUGCCUUUUGAGUUACGUAGACGAUAUUGAACUCACUCAACAGUAUCUGCAACUUGGCUAGCUUCCCAGUUGGCAUGGGUUUCUGAAAUAUUUACUUCAAAGGGUCCAUCCUGGAUAUGAGGUGUGUAGUAUAGGCACAGAAGUAAUGCCUCAACUUCUGGGCCGUCCAAGUCAAAGCACAACAAGUGCGCUCUAGUAGAGAGUACCGCGCUUUGUAAGGUAUGAACUUCUUACUCAAGUAAUAUAUGGCUUGCUCCUUUCUUCCUGUCUCGUCAUGUUUUUUCCAGAACACAUUAGAAGGCGUCGUCCAAUACAGAUAGAUAGAGUAGCAAAGGCCGUCCUGACUCUGGCGGGACCAAAACUGGUGGUGUGGAUAGGUACUCCUUGAUCUUGUCAGAAGCUUUCUGACAAUCCUCGGUCCAACUUGUCUCGGCAUCUUUUCUCAGCAUCUUGAAGAUAGGUUCACAUACGACUGUGUACUGUGCUAUGAAUCGACUGAUAUAGUUGAGACGUCCUAGGAAUCUCAUCACAUCCUUUUUGCUCCUAGGUGGCGAUAACUCCUGAAUAGCCUUAACUUUCGACGGAUCCAUCUCGAUCUCUCGACGAUUGACAAUGAAUCCCAGUAACUUUCCCGCGGGAACCCCGAAUGCACUCUUUGCAGGGUUCAGCUUCAAAUUGUACCUCCUUAACCUGUCAAAGAACUUUCUCAAGUCUGCUAUGUGAUCUGCAGCCCUCUUGGAUUUGAUAAUAACGUCGUCCACAUAUACCACUAUUUCUUUGUGCAUCAUAUCAUGGAAGAUGGUUGUCAUGACCCUCAUGCAGGUAGCCCCAACAUUCUUUAGACCAAAUGACAUCAUCUUAUAGCAGUAUACCCCCUUGGUGUAAUAAAAGCAGUUUUUUUCGCAUUUUCUUCGUCCAUCCAGAUCUGGUGAUAAACCGUGAAGCAAUCCACAAAGGAUGGGAGUUCAUGCUUGGCGCAAUUGUCAAUUAGGAUGUGUAUAUUUGGUAGUGGAAAGUCAUCUGUAGGACUAGCUCUAUUUAAAUCUCGAUAAUCGAUACAUACUCUGACUUUCCCUGAGAACUUUGGCUUUGAUCUGCUUGGUAACUUCCUCCUUUAUCUUCAUGCUCAUAUCUAGUUUAAACUUUUUAAGUUUCUGCUUCACCGGCAGACACAUGGGAUUAGUAGGCAACUUCUGAGCCACUAUGGAGGUGCUCAAACCGGUCAUGUCAUAAUAUGACCAUGCGAAAAUGUCUUCAAACUCCUUUAAGAAACAUAUGUACUCUUCCUUCUUUGUUGGCGAUAAGUGAAUGUUGAUGCGAGUCUCCUUGACGAUCUCGGUGUCCCCCAAAUUUAUUUCUUCGGUCUCGUCCAUGUUGGACUUAGGCUUAUUCUCAAAAUUUUCAGCUUUCCUCACAAAUUCCUCAAGUAUCUCAUCUUCUUCAUCUGAAUCACUAUUCUCAUGUUGCGUUGCCUCAUUACAUGUCACAGUCAAUGGUUCAUCGGGAAAAGUACUAAUAACAUUGUAGAAAGAAAAAGUGUAGAAAAUAGUAACGAAUAAUAAAGAGCAAAUGCAUUUGAUUAAAAUUAAACAACAUCCAGCUAAGUGCGGCUCGAUGAAUCGAGCAUUUAUUUUGAAACAAGUAAGUCUUUAAAACAAAAUUACUGAAAAUCUUAAAUGCCUAGAAUGGAUAUAGAAAUAAAAUUUGCCAAGCUACCUAGGGACUCGGCGGGCCUGGGAUGGUCAGGCGGUCCAGUUCCUGAGAAUAGUUCCCUUCUCCACAUUCUAAAUAGUGAGGCAUUCUUCCUCCUCCUCAAUUAUUUCACAGUAGUCCAUGUAUUUGUCCUCCAAGAACAGAUUCCUCAGCCCCGCUAACGCUUAUUCUUCUAUAGUUCCCCAUAUUGUGUCAGCUUGGUGAGAAGUCUGAUUUAGAUGCGACACUGAUUGCUCGAGAAGGUAAAAGGGUUCGCACUAUGGAGGCCACCAAUCAUUAUACUCUCGCCAUGUGUACUGAUAUCCGAGCCUAAAGGUAGUACCAUGACCCUUUAGUCGUAUCAGUUUAGCGAAACCCUGGAGAUUCUUUCCAAGCCCUUUGUCGGGUUCAUACCCAGACCAUGCCAUUAUGCUCUCUAUUUUACUGCUCCACCAUUUAUCUUUCUCAAUGGCAUUGACACGUUCAAUGUAAUGAUAAGUUUCCCCUCCUAGCCUUCUUCUAUGUCCAAUAACCAGGAUGGUUUGACUGGUGUAAAUGGGGUUACUCUUGUCUCUGUGAAUGAUCACCUCUUGACAAUUCCAUUCGAAUUUCACCGCUUGAUGUAGUGUGGAUGCCACAUCCCCAGCGGCAUGGAUCCAUGGUCGACCCAACAGAAGAUUGUAUGAGGCUGGUAUGUCAAGCACCUAAAACUCGGCGUCGAACCAAGUUGGCCCCAUAUGUAGACAAAGGUUAAUUUACCCGAUCGUGGCCCUUUGAGAUCCGUCAAAAGCUUUCAUGUUCAUGCUUCCUGUCCGUAUUUCAUGAAAACCUUUGUCCAACCUUUUCAAAGUAUCCAACGGACAAAUGUUGAGGCUUGAGCCUCCAUUAACCAAGACCCUGUCAAUAAACUUGUCUUCAAAUUGCACUGUGAUAUGUAAUUCCCUGUUGUGAUUCAACCCUUCAGGCGGUAUCUCAUCUUCGUGGAAGAUGAUUUUAUAAUUUUCCAAUACUUGCCCUACCAUAUUGGCCAUCUCUCCGCCUGUGAUAUUGUUGGGUACAUAAGCUUCACUCAACACCUUCAUUAAAGCAUUCUUAUGCACCUCUAAAUUUUGCACUAGCGACGGGAUGGAGAUUUGAGCUGGGGUUUUGUUCAAAUACUCAAUGACGGAAUACUCCUUUGCCUAUAUUUUCCUCCAAAGGUCAUCUGGACCUGUUUCAAUGACAUACUGCUUGGUAGUGGCAUCUUUACUUGGUCCUCCCAAGUGUUCAGGUGUAUAGAUUAUUCCAGUCCUAGUCAUUCCUUGUACGGCAUCAGAUUCCUCCAUCUUUGCCUUUCUUUUUCACCUAGCUUUGGCAACGUAAUCCCAGGGUAUUGCUUUUGAGUUGAAAGGAGGUGUGGUAGAUACUGUCACUGUGAAAGGUGUGGCCACUUCCACUUCAAAUGCAAUAGGGGUGGCCACAGGUGGGGCUACCUCUACCUCAAAUGGAACUGAUAUAGCUACCUCAACCUCGAUUGGUGACUGAGUCUGUACUACAAUAGGAGUAAGUGUGACAGAGGGUUUAAAGUCAUCGCCCUCCCAAAUAAGGCCAAUCGACCCCUCUAGGUCCCGUUCUUUGUUUGUCUCUAUCACAUGUACCCCACCACCCCUGUGAUCAGGGAGAGGGUUGUUGUAGACAUUGUGUGGAGCUUCCUUUGCCUGUAUGACCUUGUUGGCAAUCAGCGUCUAGAUCUUAUCUUUCAAUGUUCGACACACAUCACUGGUGUGCCCCUUCAUAGUGGAAUGGAAUGCACAAGUUUUGUUUGGAUUGACCCACUGGGAUAGAUUCUCUAAUGCCACAACAGGAAUGGGGGUGACAUAACCAGCGACUUUCAACCUUUCAUACAGUUGGUUGAUGGGUUCAACAAUGGCGGUGUAUUGUUUGGGUGGCUUGCGGUCAUAGUUUUGUCAUGGUCUUGAAAAAUUUUGGCAAGUUGAAGGUGAUUGAAAAUGGGAUGGUUGGGAAUUAUAGGUGUGAUGGACAACGGCUGGUUGGGAAUAUUUAGGAGAUGAGGGUUGUUAUGUGGGUGGUGGUGCUUGAUAUGUGGGUGGAGGUGUUUGAUAUAUGGGUGGAGGUGUUUGAUAGGUAAGUAGAGAUUUUGGGCCUUGAGCCACCAUUACUGCCCCAACGUCUCUCUUCUUUGAUAUGCCGCCUGAUUGUAAUGCCUUAUUUGUGGCUUGUAAUGCCUCAAAAUUCGUUACCAUCCCGUUUUGAUGCCUUCCUCAAUUCUUUCCCCAAGCUUGAUGAUAUCAGAGAACUUAUGGUUUUCAAUGACCAUUAAUCUUUCAUAAUAUUGCGGAUCAUGUGCUCUGACAAAGAACUUGUUCAUCUACUCCUCAUCCAGAGAUGGCCUGACCUUGGCCGCUUCUGACCUCCAAAGAGUAGCAUACUCACGGAAGGUUUCGGUGGGUUUCUUCUUAAGAUUCUGGAUGUAGAAAACAUCUGCUGCAUUCUCUGUAUUGAAGUUGAACUAGUCCAUGAAAUCCGACGCCAUACUCACCCAAUUGGACCAUUUCUUGGGAUCCUGGCUGAUGUACUAGGACAAAGCAUCUCCAGUAAGACUCCUCAUAAAGAGUUUCAUCCAGAUCUUUUCGUCUUUCCCGAUCCUGACAAGCUUGUCACAGUUGGUCCUAAGAUGAACCCUGGGAUCACCUGUGCCGUCAAACAUCUCGAACUUUGGAGGUUUGUAUCCCUCCAGCAGUUCUACAUUUGGCUGUAUGCAUAGGUCUUCAUAGUUCAAACUUUCUAUUCCUUUGCUGCCUUCGACACCUUGAACUCGGCUUGUCAACUUCUUGAGUUCUUCAACUAUGUUUUGAAUGAGCAAGUCCUUCUCGGAGGAUUCUAGGGUAUAGGAGAUUGGUUGGACAGAGUGAGGCACGAUUUCUAUGUAUAUGGGGUAGUUUUGGUGAGUACCCGGUGCCUGGGUGUAAUGGUGGUCAUUGGUAGAGUUUUGAGGAUCGGGAAUAGGUUGUGGUGUGUUUUGGGGAGUGCGGUAAGUGGUGGUUAGUGGGUACUGAAUUGGUUGAUGGUGGUGUUGUGGCCGAAUUGCUAUUGGUAGGGGAUUGCGAUUUUGGGGUGGGGUUGCAUAUUGAUGCGGUGUAGGAGGGUUUUACGGAUGUUGGUUUGGUGUGUUUUGGGGAGGUGCGGGGUUCUUUGUGUUUUGUUGGUUGAUAUCGGGGACAUUUAGGGUGAGUGAAAAGUUUGCCAAGUUGCGGACCUGCUCAAGCUCUCCUUGUAGAUCUAAUAUCUUUUGUUCUAACCUCAAGACUAGAUCAUUCGGUGCCGGGGUACUACGGCUGUCUGAAGUUUAUGCGUUCUCAGCAUUCUCCUUUCGAAUACCACUUAAAUCGUCCAUUUUUGCUUUUCAUUUGCCUUUUGUAUUGCUUGGAGGAGGUGGAGAGUCUCUAGAUUUGGUGUGAUAUGCUGACGAUGUCAGUGUGAGCGAACCAACCUUACGGGAUGGGAGUAAAUAAUAAAUAAAGACAAAAAGGUAAACAAGUCAGUAAGGAUUCUGAAAUGUUUGCAAUAUUUAAACACAUAUUGCGGGAAUAUAAAUUCAUGUCCUAAUUUGGGAACCUCGUUGAGCCUGAGGUAGGCCUAGUGACAAAUAAAUUUGGAGAAUUUUAGUGCCAAUAUCUGCCUCAUUUCAUUAAAGUAAAAGUAAACGAACCAAAACAAAACUAAAUAAGACAAUGUCACUACUGGCUCUUGACCUUAUUACAUUUGAAACAAAAGCAAAUAAAUCUAAUCUACUUGGUCCCAGAAGGACCCUCUCCAGACUGGAUUCUCUUAUCGAUCAAUUCUCCCAUCUCGUGCAGGUUCAACAGUAGGAAUGCCCUUGCAAGAUGCCCUCAUUCGUUCUCUUCAGCGUUCUGGCAGUUAGUGACCCUUUUUCUUAUCUUCCUUUCCAACUCUAUUAAACUGUAUUCCAGGUAUUCUAACCUCUCGCUGGAUUUAACAACUUUGUCUUUCCAUUCGUUAAUCAUCUCCAUAUCAGCCUUGUGCAGUGCCAUAUGCUCGGCUUCAGACUCUCGAACUCUUUUCUGCAGCUUGUUGUACUUCACCUCGGCUUCAACAACCUCGUCUAUGACCCUUUUUCCUGGCUCAACGACCCCAGUUAUGUUGUCCUCCAACACGAAGGUAAAGGUAUGAGUGACCUGCGUGAUAUCGGUCUGGCUCAAUAGUAUCCUUCUCCACAAUAAUCUUUAAGGUCCACAUAUGUUGUGCUUCAUUCCUAUACGAGAUGGCGUCACCUUGGAAACUGGUUCUGAAGUGACACAUUUUGGCGACUCGUGGUAUGAUUUGUCUCCUGCCUACUUCUCUCAUAACCCUGGAGGGAGCAUAAUGGUAUAUGCCCCCGAACCAGAUCACCACCAAGUGCGGAAAAUCCCUGGAUCUAAUGAUGAAUUCAUUGUUAUGGAACCACUCAAACAUCCACUGGACUUGAUCCUCAGUCAAAUUUUCAAAAAGUUGUACCCAUCCUACAGCGUCCUCUGGCUGAGAAACAUGUCUAGAAUAUAAUCAUUCUUUUGGGAUGAUAUAAGGCUAAAUGAUCAUUACACGGCCUUUGCAGAAAUACUUGAGGGUAUUGCCCCUUUUGGAGAUGUUCCAACAACCAGACCUAUAGUAGUAAGUUGCAACCCUUGAAGAACUUGAACCCCUUCUAGCACCGCUCCAAAGCCCGGUACAUGUCUGCAACAAUCAUAGGGAUGAUAGUGUAUAUCUCCCCCUCGAUCCCGUCCAUCAGAGUUUUCGUCACCAUGACCAACCUAGUAUGGAUCCUAUCCCCUUGGAUUGGGAAUACCAGCAUGCCCAAGAAAUACAUGAUAAAUACGAAGACCCUACGAUGAAUCCAACCUAAAGAAGUGAUUGAGAACUCAUCAUCAAAGAGGCGGUAAGAACUGUUGUGACAGUAUCUUUCGUAAAGGAACUCAAAAGGUAUGUAGGAGUCCUUUAGGCAUUUCAAGUUGUCAUUUUCCUUCAGCCCUGCCAUCUUCAGAAAUCCCCUAGGGUCAUGAGGUGCUAACAGAUUAGGACUAUCCCAAGGUAACCCAACAAAUCCUCCUAUCUCUUCUAAAAGGGGUGUCAUUUCUAUGUUCCCAAAAUGGAACACAACCCUUUCCUUGUCCCAAAACAUAGUUGCAGCCUCGAUCAGCAUUUUGUUGAGCUGAAGGUCCAUCAAAGAAGGCAAAUUUCCUAAAACUUGUUUCUCGUGGGUUUGGUCACAUGAAGUAAGAUCCCUCCACCAAUCUGGCAAAAGUGAGGGUGUGUUAACCAUACCGAAUCUGGGGACCUCGUGCCUCAUUUUCUGCAAAAACAAAGAGAGUUAGGCCCUUUCCCCCUCUAGGUUCGUCUAUUUAUACAGUAAUGAUUAGAAUAUUUGCACUUAUUUCUCCAAAUUAAUGCACAUAAUCGUGGUUACGUCCGUUGAGAUUAUGAAAAACCCGAUGGACUUUUGGACAAGACUUGUCUUAAAGGGUCAUUAUGUGGACAACAUAUUAACUCGGCUAGGUUUGACCAUGAUGCAUGUACGAUUUAAUCAGAGUAAGGUUGCUAUAGAGGUCUAGAUUGGGACCCUCAAGCGGACAACUUGAGGGGGAAAGGCACGGAACCGUCGAACGCACCGCUGAUCGACUAAUUUUACCGCAAAUACGCCUUUCCGAAUUUGAAGGGUGAUAUAUAGGAAGAGCGCAAACACUCACCAAGCGUUGCUAUAUGAUUAAUAACGCACGAGUGAAGUAUGAUGUUGAGCAUGAUUUAUGAAGCAAUAAAUAGCAUAUUGUCAAGUAUUUGCACGUAAGAAAAUAAUAAAUGCAGUAUUUAAAUAAUUGAAGAGACAGUUACAGAAAAAGAAAACAAGGAGACAAGUCAGUUUCAGGAAUAAAAGAAUCAUAAAUGCUUGAAAAUAGACAAUUAAAUUCAAAUAAGGGGAAAGGGUAUGUGGGAUAGAACAUGCUUGGACUAAUUCACAAAAGAUAAGUUCGUUAGGUAAGAGCCUAAAAAUAUCCUAAGCAAAGUCUACAUGCUAUCGCGCCCCCUUUUUUCCCUUUUUGACGGGGAAGUCCGAGUUUCGACAUUCAUGAGGGGAAUAACUCUUUUCCUUUUGGCAAUUGAGUAUUUGAAGAGUCGCCACCUAACGGAUUAUGGUGCGAUAGGGCACCUUGAGCAAUUAACUCAUAGACUAGUUUGCAUUACCAGAUAUUUAGGGUAAGAGCUCGAAAUAACCUUGAGGGGAAGGUGUUAGGCACCCUCGCGAUCCACAACGGUGGGUCCCGGCCGAACUUAAUCUAUGUGAAUUAGACCUUUUACAAAUUAAUAGUUUUAACACGUACUUGCAAGUAAAGGCUUGUUUUGUUAUUCUAAGCACAUGUAUGAUUCAAGUAAUGGAACAAGGGAAAAGGGUUGGAACAAGUUGCACAUAUAAAGAAAAAGUAAAUUUAUUUAAACAACGGGAGUUGGAAAAGAGGGGUCCUAGGUUGGUUAGCCUACAGGAUCAUACCCAUACAAUGCCCGGUAAACACUCUUCAACGAGGGGCUACACGUGACAUUUGUGCGUGAUCAUCAUAUUCCUUACUACCCAAUUCUCUCGCUUUGGUCAUAGCCUAAAGCGUUCUAGCAACCUUGAAUGAUAACCUAUGCGUGCACUACUCGUCUCUUCCUUGUGGCCCUGGAGGUAUUUAGGACCUCUAAUUUAGGUGGUUCUAGACCAUUCUAAGGUAUUUAAAGGAGAAAAGUCUAAGCAUUGAGGCAGCUGUUGUUACCCAAUUUUUCCUCAUAUAUUUUUUAAAAACACGUAUAUAUGCUUUCAAAAUAGUACAUAUGCAGUUAUAAGCAUGCAUAAGUAUUUUAUAAUUUUCCUAUAAUUUUAAAAGCUCCAAAUCAAUUUAUUUCUUCUCUUUUUAUUUAUAUAAAUAUCCAAUAAUUAUCCUUCAAAUUACUUUUGUGGUGAUUUAGCCAUUUGAAUUCAUUAUUUAUGCCAACAUAGUGUUUAAAUAUUUUUGUGCAUUUUUUGUAAUUAUAUUUACAUUUUAAAGCUAAUUUACAUAUCUUUGCAAAAACAGCCCAUACUAAUGUAUAACUACAUUAUUUAUGCAUAAAAUGAUCUUUCAUAUUUUUAAAAUAUUAAAUAACUAUUUUAAAUCAUUUUAAUACAUAAUAAUAUUUUUUUGGUACUUAUUUAUUAUUUUAUAAAUUAUUUAGUUAUUAAAAGUGGUGAUUUAAAAUCUAGCCUUAUUUUAUUUCAAUUUUGGCCUCAAUUUUGACCCAAUGCCCAGCCCGAUUUUAACCUAAACCUACCCAGCACAAUUUAACCUAAACCGACCCGGCCCCAAUUUUAUUUGAUCUCGGCCAUUGAUCAUAGAGAUCAACAGCCAGAAUCCACCCUUUCCCUUUUUAGUUUCAAACGACCCCUGAACCCUAACCAUUUCUCACGCACAACCGCCCUUGAAUCCCUUCCUCUCCAGUUCUCUCUGAAACCCACCCCUAACCCCAAUCGCCAUCACCCAAAAUCAACCCCAAACCUUAGAAUCCCUGUCCGAUCUAUGGCAUCCUAUGGCUGUACGAAGCCUCUACUUGUCUCAUAUCCCCCUGGUUUUUCGAUUAUGUGGUUUUUGUGGAAGAACCUCAAAGAGAUUUGGUCCAGAUCUCGUUCAAAGCUUUUCAAGGGUUCGUCCAUAGUUUGCGAGUUAUUUCUAUUGAAGUUUCAAGGUUCAAAUCUCUGGUUCAAAACUAGGUUCUCUUUACCCCUCCCCUUUCUCCUCAAAACCCUAAUCUUUGGCAAUGAAUCCGUCCGAUAUUUGUAGAUCUGGAAGGAUUCUAAGUUUAUCAACAACUUUUCUUUAAAGAUCUCUUGUUUCUUUACUGCUAACCGAUUUUAGCACUAUAUCUUGGGUCCUUUGCUAUCUACUGCUUGAAUCUCUGCAUACUUGAAAAUGUUCUCGAGUUUCUGUGAUUUUUCUUUAAGUUUCUCUUAUUCCUCUACUAGUAACUGAUUUUAAACGCUAUAGUACUUCAGGUUUUUGACUUCUACGACUAAGGUUUCCUGAAAUUUACUUUCUCCAAAACGUUAAUGAUUUUUGAGUAUUUAAUCUUCUGUUUCUUGUGUGUUUUGACCGAUUUCAUGAAGAUUGCUUUAACCCUGACUUGUUUAUGCUAAAAGCCCUAUUUUCUCGACAUUAUUAUUUGGUUUAUGAGUUUGUCUAGGAUACUUGGGUACGACUUUGUACUAUGCUUUGGUUUCUGUGAUUCUUCUUAGCCUAAUUCGAUGUCUUUUGGUCCUAAUGUGCCUCGAUUGAUGUUCUUGGUUCGACUCUUCUACUGAUUCCAUAUGUUCAUGUUCAUUUUUUUACCUAUUCAUUGUAAAACUAUACUUUUCCCUUAAAUUAGUGAUUGAUUUGGAUUCUUGAUUUAUCAGUUUGUUUUGUUAAGACCCAUUCCUGACUAUUUCCUUAUUUACAAUCUUGAGCCGCUUUCUUACCUUGUUUGAUUAAUUAUGAUAUUUACUGAUUCGUUACCAAUCAUUUCUUUAAUUAAAAAUCUAUCUAUUUACCCCUAAUUUCUCGUUGAUUUUAUUUCCUUAAAUGUAUUUUGCCUUUACCAUUGGUUGAUUACCCUUAUUUAAGGAAAAAUUAUACUAACUGAUGUAUAAUUGAUUCUGUGGCUUCCUUAAUUGCAGAAGGGUUGAUUCCCUUUACCUUAUUUUUCUCUUGCUCUUAACUGCUAUAUAUACUCUCCUUUACUCCUCACUUCGAGACACGAACACUAGUUCAUCUACACUCUCACACUCUCAAAAGCUCUCUAUUCUCUUCCGUUACUUGCAAUUGUUAUUAAUCCAGCUAGCUGUAAGCCAAGGCUGGCUACUUGCACCAUCUCUGCUCUAUACUCUGUAUUUUCUCCUUAACUAGUAUGUUCUGAUUCAAUUCACAUCCCAAAACUAUGUGUUUUCUUUGUUGCUGCAGUUCAUCAGUUAUGAUUUCUAUGUUCUAUUUGCUAUUCUACUCAAUAUGCAAUCAACAUGCCUAGAUUACAGUAUCACACAACAUGUUUAAGUUUAUUCUGUUAAAAGCUAUAGCUAGUAUACUGUUUAGCAUGCCAAACCCGCUUUAAAUAGUUGGUUCACUAGCAUGUCCAAGCUGCAUUAUAUGUUUAUUAUUUUACCCAGCAUGACCAAAUUCUGGCUGUUCUAUAUAUGAUUAGUAUUUCUAAAACCUUGAAUGCUUCAUGAAGUGUUUGUCUAGUUUGAUCAUCUAAGUUCAACUUGCUCUACUGCACUAAUGAGAUCCUAUUUGUGUCUAAGACCUGUGUGUUCUCAACUUAACUAACAAUCUGUGUGUUUGUUUGCCAUCACUAAGGUGCAUUCUAGGUGUCCCCUACCCCUUUCCGUUGUCUGAAGUCUGUUCUGAAACUGUGUGUUCUGUGACUUGCUCUCUGAUCCUAAAAAAUGUUCUUCAUGUUUUCUCAAACUAUUUCUACCAUAACUAUAUAUUGGUUUUCAGAAAAUUCUUUCCAUUAGACCCUCUUGCUACUGCUUAUCAAACUCUUUCAAAUCAUUAUGCACUCUCACAUUACUCUUAGAUUGCUAAGUCCUGCCCCUCUGAUAUGUGUACUGCUUUUAGACCCUAGAGAUCUCUCUGAACUCUGGCAUAUCAGAGAUGGCACUUCCACACUACACAUAAUCAAUCUUUGUUUGAGUAAAGUCUGGGUGUGAGCACUGCCCGGGAUCCUUGAGGUCCUUAGGGAAAUUUGACCCACCUAGACAUGAAUUGGGCUAUGGAACUUUGGGUAUUUGAGAUCAGUAAAGGCUUGGUACACCAUGACUAUUUUGGGCCUGCUUCAAGCUCCCUAUAGCUUAAUUUCUGUUCUAUUUAUGUAAUUCAUUCAAUUCUUGGUUUGUAAUAAUUAAUUGUAAACAAACAAUGGGGUGAUUAGUGGAAAGGGAGGGUAGUUGUAUAUUGCGGGCAAAAUUGGGUAGAUACCAUGCCUAUAGGGCCCUUAUUGCUUCAAAUGUGUUUGUUAGAUAACAUACCAACAGGAUCCGCUUUGGUUUAAAGAAGUUCUAUUUGCUUUACUUCCACACAAUUAGAAACCAUGCCUAUUGGAUUUAAAUUAACUUUUAAUAAUUAGAUAUCAUGCCUAUAGGAGUUAAAAUCAGCCUUAAUAGAAAUCAUACCUAUAAGGGUUUCACUGUGGUCGAAUUAAUUCUGCUUGCUUCACCUUAUGUUUAAUUAGAAAUCAUGCCUAUAGGACUUAAACCAGUUAAAUUAGAAAAUCGAUUUAAUUCAUGUUUAUUCUGAAUCGGUUUAAGUAACUAAUCUAUCCGCUUGUUUAAUAAGUUUUAACGUUGCCCUAAGAAAGCAUGCCUAUAGGAUCCCAAAGUGCCCGUUUAAGAAUUGUUUACUUUUUUACUGCAUUCCUAAUCAGUAGUUGAUACCAUGCUCUUAGGACAUCACUAUUAUACGCCUAGGCAAGCCUAUAUGGCGAUUAAAAUCCUGCAACUAUAAAACUGCGCUUUGUUAUUUGAGACUACUCACAUUCAACAUGUCUAAAAUCAGUAGGCAAGCUGAAUAGGCCUUUGACACUUUGGUCCUAAUUCAAUACUGUACAAUCUCUGCUCACCUAGAUAUCAUGUUCUAAGGUUUUCUCUUAAAUAUUUGAAACUAUUGUUUGAGACGUGCACUUAUAUGUUAUGUUUGUGGAGGUAAAUGCGAGCCUUUAAUUAUUCUCUUCAAUGCAAUCCUAAUUGUUUUGAUUGACGCUUAGACUUUUCUCCUUUAAAUACCUUAGGAUAGUCUAGAACCACUUAAAUUAGAGGUCCUAAAUACCUCCAGGGGCACAAAGAAGGGACGGGUAGUGCACGCAUAGGAUAUCAUUCAAGGUUUCUAGAACGCUUUAGGCUAUGACCAAAGGGAGGAAAUUGGGUAGUAAGGAAUAUGAUGAAUACGCGCUAAUGUCACGUGUAGCCCCUUGUUGAGGAGUGUUUACCGAGCAUUGUGUGGGUAUGAUCCUGUAGGCUAACCAACCUAGGACCCCUCUUUCCCAACUCCCGUUGAUUAAAUAAAUUUACUUUUUCUUUAUAUGUGCAACUUGUUCCAACCCUUUUCCCUUGUUCCAUUACUUGAAUCAUACAUGUGCUUAUAAUGACAAAACAUGCCUUUGCUUGCAAGUACGUAUUAAAAUUAUUUAUUUGUAAAAGGACUACUUCACAUAGCUUAAGUUCAGUCGGGACCCACUGUUGUGGACCGCGAGGGUGCCUAACACCUUCCCCUCAAGGUUAUUUUGAGCCCUUACCCUAAAUCUCUGGUAAUGCAAACUAGUUCAUGAGUUAAUUGCUCAAGGUUCCCUAACGCACCAUAAUCCGUUAGGUGACGACUCUUCAAAUACCCAAUUCCUAAAAGUAAAUGAGUUAUUCCCCCCAUGAAUGUCGAAACCCGGACUUCUCCAUCAAAAAGGGAAAAAAGGGGGCGGGACACUUGUUUCACUAAAUUCCGACUCCAAAUCAAUGUUCAAAACUCAAAAAUUCAUAUUAUGAAACUUUAGGCCAAAACCCCCAAUUUCCUCUUUAAAUUCAUCAACCAAAAGCUAAAAUUGAAGAUAGAUUCAUGAAACAUAACCAAAACUGAGUAGAGAACACUUACCCCCAUUCAUAUGGUGAAAAUAGCUUCAAGAAUCGCCUCAAUCUGAGCUCUAUAGCUAAAAAAUGUAAAAAUGACCGAAACCCUCGAAAUAGAGUACUUUAUAACCACUGAGCAACUUAAUGCAUCGCGAUCGCGAAGAAGAAAACUUAUACUCCUGUAAAAUGCCAUAAACGAUCGCAUAUGUCAGCUCGCGAUCAUGGUAUACACAGCUAACAAAGCUAUGCAUUCGCGGAAGAAACCUUGCGAACGCGAAGAUAUAACCAACACUGCCUCAGCUCAAACCCAAACACAAUGCGAACGCGUUCUCAACAUCGCAAAUGCGAUGCUUAACUGCCAUAACCUAUGCGAACACGGACCAUCACUUGCGAACACAUAGAAGAAGAAUUAGCCUGCUCCACUUUUCCUUUAUGCUAUCACACCACUAAGUCCGCGAUCGCGAUGAAGAAAUGCGACACCAGAUAUCAGCAGAACACAACAGUGAAAAAUGAAGGAAAAAUAGUUUGAAACCCGUCCGAAACUCACUGAGCCCCUCUGAACCAUGUCCGAACAUCCCAACAAGUCCCAUAAUAUAACACGGACCUUCACGAGGCCUCAAAACACACAUAACAAUAUCGAAUCGACGAAUCACACCUUAAUUCGAAAUCAAUGAACUUUAAAACUUCAAACUUCUACAACCGAUGCCGAAACCUAUCAAAUCUUCACAUUUGGCAUUACGGACCUGCUCCAACUUCCAAAAUCGGAAUCCAAACCCGAUAUAAAAAAGUCCACUCCCGGUCAACCUUUCGAAAAUUCCAACUGUCAUAUCCCUUUUUUUUGCAAAACCUCACUAACCCUCUUAAAUAAAUAAAAAGAUUUCGCAAAGCUCGAAAGAAAUUUUCAAUUUUGAAAGUGACAAAAGAUAGUGUUCAAAAGGAUUAACUCAGAGUCGCCACCUGACAUUUGAUUUCGGUGUGUCAGGUCACCGUUUUUCUAAAAAUAAUUUUUUUUUUCCUUUCAAAACACUUGAGACUCCAAAACUAAGUCUACACAAGAGAUUCGGGUAAGGAGGUUCAUUUGACUCGGGGAGAAGGUGUUAGGCACUCCCCAAGUCCCGUAACUAGUACGGUUGCAUACUUGAUCUAGUUAGCUUUUAAAAUAUUCAAGUUGAGGUAAAAUCACGAAAAAGCAAAAUAAACACACAUGAGGCUCGAGGUUGUCCCCACCUAAUAAAAGAUGAAUAAAAAUAAAAAUAAAAACACUACGAGUUCUACUAUCGAUCUCCAAGUACAAAUACUUCGGGGCAUACCCCGGAAUAAAAUAUAUACAAAUCUUUCGGGGCAUUCCUCGAACAAAUUUAACUAAGGAAACGACCUCUCACCUCAAAAGAAACUAAAAUCAAAUGCCCUAAAGGUUUUCCUACCCAAGCGUGGCCGGCCUAAGGAUACUACUAGCGGGUCAAUUAGCAAAUGCAAAAAACAAAUUCACAGAAAUUCAAUUGAUUCUAUUUAAUCCAACCCCACAUUCCAUUUCCAACAAAAUUCUUUCAUAUCUUCAUUCUCAAAUGUAUAGAGCAUAUUAUAACGUAAUUCAGUGAAGCCAACCAAGAUCAAAGUCAUAACACAUUAAUUCAACGAUUCGAGGAACAAAUCAAACAAAGUAAAGCUAACCAAGAUUAAAGUUAUAGCAGAUUCAAACUCACAGAUUAAUAAACGGGGAUAAAAGAGAUGAACCUGAAAAAUGAUCUUGCAAUUAAUAUAAUUUUGACAGUCCAUGGAUAGAAUACGCAGCUACAAAUGGAAUUCAAAUAGAAAAUCCAGCUCGAACAAAACCAAUGGACCACACCCCGGACGGCAACUCCAACAAUCGAACACCAAUUUCAACUCUGCUUUAUUUCGGAAGCCAGGACCAAAAUAACAACCUUUUAUUGAUGAACAAAGCUGAAAAUUACAUAUCAAUCGGGCUAAAUAAAGCAACAAUCUUUGGACCGAAAUACCGAAAUUGCAAACCGGAACCUCAAAUCGACACCCGAAAAAGAAAUCGAAACCCAAAUCGGAAGGCAAAAAGUGCCAAUCCUAAAUUGAUAAAAUUAUCAGUAAUGGCUUCCUUGGAGAUUGUGCUCUAAUUCAGUGGAGUCAACCCAUUUUCCUUGUUGGCUUUCAUUAAUUAAGUGGUCACGUGACUGACUUGGUCACAUAGAUGCCUAAAACAUUAAAUUGCAAGUCAAGGAUGUGUAGAAGGAGAUUGGUUCAUAUUGAUUCAUGUCAAUUUUUAUAUAUGGCAUCCUGAGAUUGUGUGAAUGACUUGGAUGGUUUUCAGACUCUAGGAAAAGAAGUUGAGCAACGUGAUAGCGGGGCAUGCCUUUUCCGAUGAAGGUUCAACUGAUCGAUUCUUCAACAUUCAGAGAAUCAAUCCUUCUUCUUGACCAUACUGCUUCAGCGUCCUUUUGAGUCGCACAAAAUUAAUUGCUCAAAAGAUUUUUCAGAACCAAAAUUCCUCCAGUUUUUUGAAUGCUGCCAUUUUUCUUUGUUUUUAGUCUAGGUCUUUGGGUGAGACGUGAUGGCUGGUCGUGAGUUUUUUGGUCUAGAGUUUAAGAUGAUGAUGGAGAAUGGUUGUUAUGUGUGUAGGAGAUGAGGGGACGGCUGGUGGUGUGUUGCGGCUUCUCUCCCUAAAGUUCUAGGGUUUUUCUUUGGUUAU